AGAGUUUGAUCCUGGCUCAGGGUGAACGCUGGCGGUGUGCCUAAGGUAUGCAAGUCGAACGAAAUGUAGUGAACUUGUUUCUACUGCAUUUAGUGGCAGACGGGUGAGUAACGCGUGGGUAAGUUACUUCCAAGAUGAGAAUAACUCCAAGAAAUCGGAGCUAAUACUCAAUGGUCUAAGUAGUACAAGUUUACUACUUAGUAAAGAUCUUAUUUUUAAUAAGUUUACUUGGAAAGACACCUGCGUCCUAUCAGCUUGUUGGUAAGGUAAUGGCUUACCAAGGCGACGACGGGUAGCUGGUCUGAGAGGAUGGUCAGCCACACGAGCACUGAAACACGGGCUCGACUCCUACGGGAGGCAGCAAUUAGGAAUCUUGCGCAAUGGGCGAAAGCCUGACGCAGCGACACCGCGUGGAGGAUGAAGACCUGCGGGUUGUAAACUCCUUUUGUGCUGGAAGAAGUCCGCCUUUGGCGGAUUGACGGUACAGCAAGAAUAAGCACCGGCUAACUGCGUGCCAGAAGCAUCGGUUAUAUGUAGGGUGCUAGUGUUACCCGGUUUUAUUGGGCGUAAAGGGAAGCGUAGGCGUUCUGAAAAGUCGAAUGUGAAAUCCUAUAGCUCAACUAUAGAACUAUGUUCGAUACUCUCAGAAUAGAGGAGAAAGGGGGAAGUGGAAUUCGUGGAGUAGCGGUAAA
rnacentral:rRNA from 1 species